rnacentral:pre_miRNA from 1 species
UGCAGAAGUGGACUGGUGUGGUAUUGCUUCUGCUCAUCUUUGUACAUUAAUUUAAUCAUAUGGCAUCGGCUUAAUUAAGACGAGCCGAAUCAAUAUCACUCUAGUGCGCUUCACU